UACGUAGGGGGCAAGCGUUGUCCGGAAUCAUUGGGCGUAAAGAGCGUGUAGGCGGCCUGAUGAGUCGGCUGUGAAAGUCAAGGGCUCAACCCUUGAAUGCCGGCCGAUACUGUCAGGCUAGAGUCCGGAAGAGGCGAGUGGAAUUCCUGGUGUAGCGGUGAAAUGCGCAGAUAUCAGGAGGAACACCGAUGGCGAAGGCAGCUCGCUGGGACGGUACUGACGCUGAGACGCGAAAGCGUGGGGAGCAAACAGG
rnacentral:rRNA from 1 species